UACGUAGGUGGCAAGCGUUAUCCGGAAUUAUUGGGCGUAAAGCGCGCGUAGGCGGUUUUUUAAGGCUGAUGUGAAAGCCCACGGCUCAACCGUGGAGGGUCAUUGGAAACUGGAAAACUUGAGUGCAGAAGAGGAAAGUGGAAUUCCAUGUGUAGCGGUGAAAUGCGCAGAGAUAUGGAGGAACACCAGUGGCGAAGGCGACUUUCUGGGCUGUAACUGACGCUGAUGUGCGAAAGCGUGGGGAUCAAACAGG
rnacentral:rRNA from 1 species